rnacentral:lncRNA from 1 species
AUGUAAACUAAAAGCCAGGCACCAUGGAAAGAGGCUCAAGGCCACAGGCGCACCUCAAGAUAACUCAGUACCAGUAAUGGUCCAGUGGAUCACUGAAUGCUGCACCUGAGCUGGCCUAAGAACGCCUCAGUGUUGCUUACUGAUGAACAGAAUUGGAAAUCCUCACACUACAACAGGUGACCGUGGAGACAGUCAACCCUGCCAUUCAACAUGGGAGAAAGGACUGCUCACUUGACUUCUCAGGCUAAGGAGUUGUUUGGGCCGUGAUCCGCACCGCUUUGACCCUUCGUGCAUAAAGAACAGCUAACAGAAUUCUUGCCUGAAGGAACAUUAGG